GCACCCCUGUAAAAGGGUUGAAAUUAUCAUUAAAUGAAUUAAUAAUCAGCCGACGCUGUGUCUCUUCUUCAUGACAUGAGUUGAUCUUUUUAUAUAACAAAUUCACCAUGGCAAUAACACAUUCACAAUAAUCAAUUUCACAUUCUUCCAUAUACAUUCACAAUUAUUUAGCAGCAUCAUGUCAACAACACUACUGUAAUAACCCGGUUUCCAUUUUAUCAUCAACUAUUCCAAAAUAACAUUCAUCAGAAAAUAUCCGUAGCCUCAAUUAAAUCAACUGUACCAAGUACCAUUGAUUCUAUAACUCUGGCAUCAUACUCACGAACAUUAGUAAAGGCACUAGCCCAUUAAAGAAGGCACUUAAGUAUAGGUUCAACACUGCAAGUGUUACAAUACCAGAACAAAAUAAUUAAGUGCAGCAAAUGUUCUUAAAUGCAAUGCUACAUCAUGUAUUGUUCCAUUUUAACUGUAAUAUUAUAAAUGCAUUACUCAUCAAACUGUUUUUAUCCCUUUUAACCCCAAGUUAUUCUAUUUAUAUUUUACAUGACCACUUUAUUCUUUAAAGAAUUGCUCAUUCUCUUUUAAAUGCAACAGUGCUUUUAGCUUCCACUUGACAAAUGUAUUUAGCUUGUAGCAUACUCAUGACCUUCAAAUUGUACUUAUACACAACCAAAAUGGAUUAAAUGCAUGUAAACCAGGCCUACACGCCAUGCAGCGACGCACCACACUGUAUUGUGAAAGAUGGCGCCGGCCACCAUGUGGUUCUCAAACAAUCAUCUUUUGAGCUGAAUAAACCCUCUAACAUGACCAUUUCAAAAUGCUGAUGCACUUCAAUACAUUCCCCAUUAUGCCCAACACAUAUAUAAUCGACCGUGAGCCAUCUGUUAUCAGUAUUUACCUGUAAAAGGGUUGAAAUUAUCAUUAAAUGAAUUAAUAAUCAGCCGACGGUGUGUCUCUUCUUCAUGACAUGAGUUGAUCUGAAGAGCAAACAUACUGCGCCCCCUACAGACCUGAUGCAGACCAGAACAAUUGAUUAAUCAUGUACUGUUUUAGACCAUAGAAUCCUGUAAACUGUUAGAAAACAAAGUCACUAU